UCCAAUGGACGCCUCCAGAACAUCGGCGGCUGCCCGGGUGACUCGGUUAUAUGUCACAGAAUAACAUUCGAGAAUGGGCGAUGGAAUGAGCCAACAUUCUCCACAGCUCCAGCAGCCCUCUGCAGCAAUGAGGCCGGCUGGCUCGAGGCCCGGCCAGUGAGUGGGAAGCCCGGCAGUUUCCCUAGUGCUGUCCUGCAGCCGUGAGAGAUGAAGGCCAACCCCACGGGGCUCUGAUCUCCAGCGCGCCCAAGUCCCCCGCCGCGUGCGCCUCACCAUGACCGGCUCCGCCGCGGACACUCAUCGCUGCCCCCAUCCCAAAAGCGCCAAAGGCACCCGGUCCCGGAGCAGCCACGCGCGGCCAGUAAGCCUCGCCACUAGCGGGGGCUCGGAAGAGGAGGACAAAGACGGCGGGGUGCUGUUCCACGUGAACAAGAGUGGCUUUCCGAUCGACAGCCACACCUGGGAGCGUAUGUGGCUGCAUGUCGCCAAGGUCCACCCCAAAGGGGGAGAGAUGGUGGGCGCCAUCAGAAAUGCUGCCUUCCUGGCAAAGCCUUCAAUUCCCCAGGUCCCAAACUACAGGCUGUCCAUGACGAUUCCAGACUGGCUCCAGGCCAUCCAGAAUUACAUGAAGACACUACAAUACAAUCACACAGGGACCCAGUUCUUUGAAAUCAGGAAAAUGAGACCUCUGAGCGGGUUAAUGGAAACGGCGAAAGAGAUGACCCGAGAAUCCUUGCCUAUCAAAUGCCUUGAGGCAGUCAUUCUGGGCAUAUAUUUAACCAACGGGCAGCCUUCCAUCGAGCGCUUCCCCAUCAGCUUUAAAACCUAUUUCUCAGGGAACUACUUUCACCAUGUCGUGCUGGGGAUUUAUUGCAAUGGUUACUACGGCUCACUGGGCAUGAGCCGAAGGGCUGAGCUGAUGGACAAGCCGCUGACCUUUCGGACUCUGAGCGACCUUGUCUUUGACUUUGAAGACUCCUACAAGAAAUACCUGCACACGGUCAAGAAGGUCAAGAUUGGGCUGUAUGUCCCCCAUGAGCCUCACAGCUUCCAGCCCAUUGAGUGGAAGCAGCUGGUCCUCAACGUCUCAAAGAUGCUGAGGGCCGACAUACGGAAGGAGCUGGAGAAGUACGCCAGGGACAUGCGGAUGAAGAUCCUGAAACCUGCCAGUGCCCACUCUCCAACUCAAGUGAGAAGCCGGGGAAAAUCCCUGUCUCCCCGAAGGAGGCAAGCAAGUCCCCCAAGGAGGCUCGGCAGGCGAGACAAGUCAAUUGAAGAGAACCACACUGUCUUUGGAGACAAGGCGGAAAUAACCAGAAGGAAGAGCCAAGGCAAGCGGCCACGCUGGCGCCUUCACCUGCACCCGAGGAAGACAGCAGUUAGACAGCUACGGCUGUGAGUGUGAAGCCACUGGGUGCCAGGGCCCUGCUUGUCCUUACCCCCCCGUCACACUACAGUGGCCUGAGAAUGGAAAGACCAUGAGGGAACGAACCCCCAGGUGUUUUCCCUUAACAUCCUACCAAUGCCAACCCCCCAGCCCCCGGGAGGCAGUCACAGGCCAAUAUAUUAUAAACGUAUCAAAGAAAAGGUGGGGUGGCUGUACCCAGCUCCCAAGGUCCCUAUAUCACACCCAUAGCCAUGACCUUGCCUCCCAGGCUGAGCAGGUUCCCAGGAGCCCUUCAUUAAUGCUUCCCAGUGGGGUAUGAUUGGGAAGGAUCCACAGCUAGCCCAGGUGGCCUUGGAGCAGCACGGUCAUGGAGAGCCCUGCACCUGUGGGUGCCUGAGGACAGUUUCACAGGCAUAGGUCUCAUAAGGUCAUGGCUCUUCUCGGCAUCAGAGAUCCUGGCCACUUGGCUCUUGUCUGCAUUUGGAGGCUGGCAGGAGCCUCGACAGGGCUCUGGAUAGAGGUGAGUGAGGAGGGAGAGCCUUUGUCCAGCUCCUCUCAGACCUGACUUCUGAGGGGCAGCAUUGGGGAAGGGUGGGGGAGGACAGAAGCCGAAGACUGGAGAGGAGGGAACCAUGGAAACUCUGAGCCCGCCCUCCCGGUGCUCACUUGUGCGUCUGCCAUAGCCACAGGCUAGACCAGCACCCCUGGCCUCCAGACAUAUGUCCAAAAGAGGAUCUUUUCUCCUGCCCAUAGCUUUCUCCAUGCAGGCUUGGUCCAGCUAGCUAUUUUUGAAGGGACAGGUUUGACCAUGCCCCAGUGACUUCACAGACCCUGGGCUCUCACUGAACUGGUGAGCAUCAGGAAGGCUCCUGAUUGACUGCAGUGCUAUUAUUUCAGCUUUACCUAAGGCCAGCGAGUCAUUUCUACAUACACUGCGUGCUCACAGUGGAAAGUAACCACACCGGGCAAGAGGCCCGUCAGCUGGGUCAGCUGGGUCAGCUGGGGUCAGCUGGGGCCCGUAGAUAGUUUUGGUGGCCCGUGCCGCCCCUCUCACAGCUGGAGCCACUUCUAGUGCUGCAUUCCUUUUUGUCUUUGCACUUGCCUAAAUAAUCCCUGGAGGAGUGUCUGUGUCGCUGGGUUGACAUGGAGUCGGCUGAGCAGGAGGAUAACAGUGACUUCACCAACCUCAAUUAAGAUCAAGUUUCUACGGGGAGACAGCAGUCCCCUCCCCCAGCGGGUUCUUCCUCUCUGCUCCCCUCUGAGUGUUUCCGUCUUCUUCUCAUUACAUUUAUUUGUCAGACAUAUAUGCAUGUGAAGGGCGGAGAACACCUUUUGGGUUCGUCCCUUCCACCAUGUGGGUCCUAUGUGUAGAAUUUAGGUUGUCAUGUGUAGUGCCUUUUCCUCCUGAGCCAUCUUGCUGGUAUUUCCCCUCCAAACGUUGGAAGCACCUUCUACACAGAAAGGUCAAGUUUCCCUCUCAACUCCACCCCCACCCCGGGGGUUCUUAAAGAGAACUGGGGGUGGAAAUUGGGCUCUGUUUCAAAGCCCCUGUCAUCUCAAACCAACCUGUUCCCAACUCUGGGGCUCAGUCCCUUCAGGCUCCAUUCUGAGAGGUGUCCACAGUGACUUGUGAGUGGGCCAGCUCUAGAAGAGCAAGGUAGAAGUCAGGGGAGCCUGAUGUGAUUCAUCAGUUGUCCCAGGCUCUUGAGUGGUGGGAGCCAAGAAGACCACUUGUGUCCUCAAGUUCAAGACCAGCCUAGACUAUAUAUCGUGGUAAUGUCUAGAAAGAAAAAGGGCUAUAGAUAGGGCCGAGUGUCUGCCACACAAGCGUGAGUCCUGAGUUCAGAUUCCUAACACUUGAGUCAAAAUAAAAACACAUAAGGGAGAGGUAAUCGAGGCGCACACCAGGUUGGCGGCUGGUCUCCACAUCCGGCGCACACUGUACACAAACACCUCCGGGGAAAAAAGACCAAUCUCGUCUUCACUAAAGAUCAGCUUCCCCAAAGGCCAGAGCAAACCUUUCUGUCUCCGUGGUUCCUUUUUACCUGGUUGUCCUCCUCUUUUUUUCUGCCAUGUUUCUUUUUUUCCCUUUCUCUUUCUUGAGCAACAUUGUUCCUUUUAGUUAGGAGCCCAUGAAGGGUCAUAAGGUAGGUCCUGGAAGCCACUCCUGGAGGCUUGUAGGCAGUGGUUCUGUUUAAAGUUAGCUCAUCUCUAGGGCGUGACUGGACCCUGAAGGCCAGGAGCUCAUCGUCACAGUUGGGUGAAAUCUGCACACGUGUUUCCAUUUCUCCUGUGUUUAUUAUUGUGGGUGUCUCUGGAACCAUGAGAAGAGACAUAAAGAAAUGUGUGGACCCUUGUGACACAGGUGAUUUAGUCGGGUCAGGUAGAAAGUCAGGAGGGUUCUUGAACACCCACCGUGAAGUUGUUUCAGAGAGAAUGAUCAUCGGUCAAGAUGUUGGAAUCUCUUAGUGGCUACUUGAGAGGCAAAAGCAGGAGGAUUCCACAUUCAGGGACUGCCUGGUAACUCAUGGGAACUUCAUCUCAAAUACGAAGUCAAAGGGGAGUAGGGGCGGGUUUGGUGGCGUUCACCUGACAGAGGAGAAUGACUUAGGAUGAUCAAGCCCUUCUUCUCAGAGAGAGCCUGACUGGAGUCCGCUGCUCAGUUUUAGUUGGGUGAGUUGGACUACUUUCUUGUCAAGAGGAAACGACUUGCUAAAAGAAAAUCUUUCAAAGGCUUAAGAACUUUCUUAUCCUUGAAUUUUCACUUUUUAGCACUUCAGGUCAAGGUUCCACUGUCCCCUUUGUCAGCCUCUUUGAUGCUCUUAGGGAAGCGGAAGAAACCUGAAGUAACAUCCUAAAUCCCCACUUAUAGUCUCGGACCCAUCAACCCAAGGUGACAAGGGGCUCAUCAGAAAAUGAAGCGGUCAGAAUGCUUGCAUACAGUGUCAUCCUGGAAAGCCGCCAGUCCCUCACUCAGUGUCAGUGUCGAGGUUUUACUGCCAGGUGCUUUAGGGGUUUCCUGGCAAAGACGCUUUGUCACUGAGUGAUUUUCUGCCACGGCGGGUGGUUUCAGGUAAAUUCUGAAAGAUACACCUUUGAAUCCUUUAUUUUUACCCUGGCUGUUCAGGAACUCUGUAGACUAGACUGGCCUCAAACUCAGAGAUCCAUCUGUCUGCCUCCCAACACUCGAGAGGCAGAGGCAGGCGGAUCUCUGGGAGUUCGAGGCCAGCCUGGUCUACAAGAGCUAGUGCCAGGACAGGCACCAAAGCUACAGAGAAACCCUGUCUCGAAAAAAAAGUUUCAAUCCUCUCUGUCGGUCCUGCCCCAUCGUCCUUCUGCCUUUAUCCUUAGGCCUGCUCUACCUGAGAAGAAGGCGGCUGACCUUGGCACCCUGAAUGAAGUGGGCUAUCAGAUCCGGAUCUAGCCAGGCCAGGCUGGCAAGGCUUCUAUGGUGCUCUUUUCUGCACUUUCCGCAGCAGCUUCGGGACCUGCUUAUCCAUGAGGAACGGGUGCAGCUUUCAUCUUGAAGGACUUCCCUGGGAACAGAAUCUGAGUGGGUGGACAUGGUGAGCCUUGAAAAAUGCUGUGGGCAGCAGGCAUGACUGGGCUAAGUGAUGGACAGGCCCCUUGGUUGACUGUCUCCCUCAGGAUCUCAAGGACAACAUUGGAGUUUUCUAUUUUUCCAUUUGCCGACUGUUGCGCUUGCUUUGGACAUUAUGCCUCAGCUGUAGUCAACUUUGGAGUUGUCUCCACUCUCUGUAACCCAGCCAGUGUUACCGUCUUCUCAGCAAUAACAAGCAAAGAUGGUGGGUUUUUAAAGCAGUUGAUAUUACCUCAACAUUUUGGCACCAGAUAUGCAAUCUUAAUGAGUUUUUUAUAUUCUAUUUGUAUUGUUUUCCUAGUGUUUCUUAUAGGGAUUUGGAUGGUUUGGAGGGUUUGUUGUUUUUUUGUUUUUGUUUUUUCUGGUACACACAUGAGAUGAGAUUUAAGGUGUCAUAUGCAAAUGCUUUAGCAAAAAGCACUGCAAUUCUGGCAAUAAGGGACAACACAUUAGGAUCUUGGAGUCACUUAGAGCAUCUGCUGACAGCAGGCUUCCCUCUUUCAAAACAAGAAAGCCAGUCCAUGUCUGUUGCUAACAUUUAAGCUUUUCCAAAUCCAGCAAAAAACACAAGAGGACACGCACUCACCAAAAUCCAGCAGUGCCGAGAUGUCCUCAGGCAGAAAGGUGCUCAAAGGACAGACCCUGGUCAGCCUUGGUUCUGAGGGUCUCGCCACUGUUAAUAUGCUCUCUGCUGUCUUACAUUAAGGCAAAUGUGAUGACGGACUAUUUCCGUCAUCCACUUCAUGGCAUAAGGAGGUGCUGGGGAAAACCAUGAACUCAAGAAGCAGGCCCGUCUUUAAGGAAAAGGUCCAGCCCAGCACUGAGUGCAGGUCCUGAAGCAGAGCAAGCCUGCCUGUUGCCACUGCAGUGUGACUUCUGAAGGCGUCUGGAAGCCAACUUUAGGUCACGUGUGCAGCCACCAUGCAGAAAGCCCAGCUCAUUCCGAGAGCUCUCGGCAUACGUUCCUCUGGCUGUGACUGACAGACCUGCUAACCGACCAUUCGCUGAGUCUUCAGCAGGAAAACCUAGGGCUACAAGGGAGGCAAGAGCCCUGGGCAUAAAAACUCGCUCCACCCUCAAGCCAGUAUUGUUUUCUUGGAAAAGUUCAGUGUCCUCUAGAGACCAGAACCAGGAAACUAAAACAGUGUAAGCUUCAAAUUCUGAACUUAAUCGCUUUCUUCAAGAAUCCUGUUAGCAGAGUUCAAGAUAAGUUACUGGGCCUGGGCGCGCGCUGGGAGGCCCUGCUCUGACCUCGGGACCCAAGGAAGCACCACUCACUGUCCUCCACAGUCCUCACACGCCGUCCAGUCUCAGACUCAAGGCCGCCUGUAUCUGAGUGUCCUGAGGAGCCUGAGAGUGCUUUCACUUUUGCUCAGCUGUUUAUCCCCCCCAAAACUGCUCCAUGUGGUACCCGGACUGAUCAGAAUUCAGUGACGAGGCCAAGUGCCCGCAGCUGCCUUGUUCAAGGAUCGUUCACAAGAACGCCGGACAGUGGGACAACCUUAAUCCUUGGCAAGACAAAGAACAGUACCCAGCUGUUCCUGGGUGCGACACUCUGCCAUCUCUUCCACAACCACUUUGAUUUUUAGAUUCAUUUUCCAAAGCAAGAUUAGUCACAAACAUUUUAAGUGCUCUUUGCCAUUCGAUUUUACUGACUGUAGUUACAUCAACUUCUAAAAGCAGAAGACAUGAAACACCUAAAUUUUAAUGCAACAGUCUAAUUAAAACGAGCCCAGUGUGUUUAACCUCUCCUCAGCCUGGCUGUGGUUUCAGAAGGCAGAGAAGAACAGUGUGAGGUGACUGGAGCAAGUUUAUCCUGUGGCAAGAUGUGCAGAGCUGAGUGACAAGCCUCAGGCUGCCCCGCUGCUGAUUGUGAAAGGUGAUCCCGUGUGUUUUCCGUACACUGGCAUCUUGUGCACAUCCCUUUCCUUGAGUCACCUAUUUCAUGGGUAUCCUCAGCAGACAUGGCUAAGGGCCUUCGCAACCUUCAGCCUACUCUACAAGGUUUUUGUAUGCUGGACUUUAAUGUACAACCUUGUAUAGUUUUUUGACACACAAUUGAGAUUCUUGUUUAUUCUUAGACCUUGUUAUAUUUCAGAAGAGCCGUGGCUGUCUGGGUAUUUUUCUAAGUGCACGGAGACUGACGGUAUCUAAGGAGUGCCAGGAGAGCAUGCUUCAGGCUUGCAUUUCUCUCGUCACGUGUGCGACACAGCAUGGAACUGUAGUAAAAACCAUUCUGGAAACUGA